GUGGGGAAUAUUGCACAAUGGGGGAAACCCUGAUGCAGCGACGCCGCGUGAAGGAAGAAGUAUCUCGGUAUGUAAACUUCUAUCAGCAGGGAAGAAAAUGACGGUACCUGACUAAGAAGCCCCGGCUAACUACGUGCCAGCAGCCGCGGUAAUACGUAGGGGGCAAGCGUUAUCCGGAUUUACUGGGUGUAAAGGGAGCGUAGACGGAGCAGCAAGUCUGAUGUGAAAGGCAGGGGCUCAACCCCUGGACUGCAUUGGAAACUGUUGAUCUUGAGUACCGGAGGGGUAAGCGGAAUUCCUAGUGUAGCGGUGAAAUGCGUAGAUAUUAGGAGGAACACCAGUGGCGAAGGCGGCUUACUGGACGGUAACUGACGUUGAGGCUCGAAAGCGUGGGGAGCAAACAGG
rnacentral:rRNA from 1 species